AUUACACGGUGAUGGGAGAUCUCUGGUGGACCAAUGUCCUGAAUUUGGCUCUCCCACCUCAGAGGCAAAGGCCUGACACCCGGCCGGAGCAUCAAGAUGCUGUCAGCCACAUUGCUCCAGCAAUGAACACCUGGUUUACCUGAAAUGCUUCAUACCACAAAUAAUGCUGCAAUAAAUCACUUGAGCUGGCCAUGAAUACUUGCCUAGUGGAAUGAAGAAAAAUUUAAUUCCUGAAUUAGUAGUCCUGCCUGUUCUGAAAUGUAGUAAUUCCAAGAGAGAUAGAAAAUGAAUGCAAAUAAAAAAGAAAUUCUACAUGCAAAAAUACAGUUUUUGACCUAGUGCUAAUUGGAAGGGGAGUUCAUCUGUUCCUGGAAGGAAUUGAAAAGGUGGCUCCUUCAAUCUCCUCUUGGUGAGCAUUGACAAAGUGGUGGAGGGAGUUUCAGAAAUCGAAGAUAUUCUUGGAUUCCAGCUUGAUUUUUGGUCACUAAACAUAUUGCCAUACCCUAGUUCAUUAGACUUCCUAAUAACCUUUGAGAGGAAAAUUAACAUUUCACAGAGCAACAGAGUAAAAUUUGUGUAUUGCAAAGAGAAUUAGAGGUCACUAUGAUGCCAUAUACAUUCAUUUCAGUUCCCACAAGACUUUACUCUUUGCAUCUAUUUUUAAUGAAACAAAUAAAAACAGGAACCCAAACCUAUGAAUAUGAUCAUUUAUACAGCUAGAUUUUUAAGACAUUUUUAUGUCUAGUUUGUUAUAUAUGUCUGCAAGUUGACUGGCAAGUGACAAAGCAAGGAUGGCAAGAUAAAUUCAAACACUGUGCUCCUUCCUGGAAGAAGAUCUUUGUAAACAAAAUCAAUAUCUGCAGAGAAAUAUCAAACUCUCAUGUGCUCCAGUUCAAGAACCUCAGAGAUACUCUAUAAUAAAAAGGAAUUGCUAAAAUAAAUAAAUUUAGAAUAGCUAAAACUUACAUUUCUCGAAAUAUAUCCAAAGGCUUUCUAUGAAAGCUAGAAACUACAAGCAUGUAUUUUCAUCAACACAUCUGAUUUGGUGACUCUGUAAGAUGUAUAUCUAUUGUGAUAACUGGAAGGCUAUUUUCAAUGAAUAUGAAUAUUUGUUUGUACCCUCUAUCUUGUAGAUGCCAAUUUGUUUCUCUGUUCGAGAUACGAUUUUAUGAAAUAGGGAUAAUAGGUUUUCUAUGAGGACACAUUAUCAUGAUACAUUAUUAACUAGUGAGUAAUGGCAAGACACGUAUUUAGUUGUCAGUAUUUGACCAAAGAAUUUGUGAUAUAUAUAUAUAUAUAUAAUAUAUAUCAUAUAUAAAAUCCAUUAUACUUUAUAGUAUUUAUGUGUGUGUGUGUCUGCUAUGAAGCAUAUAACUUCUAAGAUUAUCUAGAAAUUAACAUAUCAGUUCAUGAGCCUAAAGCUAAAAUAUCUAAAAUUUCUAGGAGAUUUGAAAUUCUUUAAUUUGCUUCUUUUGGACUUUUGUUAUUGACAAGUUUUCUUAUUUAACUUCAUCAGUUAAUUAUGGAUUACAUAAUUAUUAUUUGUUUUAACAUUACAACAUAUUUAGAGAAAAAAGAAGAAAUAAUUUUGUGUUUUCUUUUCUUUUAUGGUUUUAUUCAUUAUCAUCCUUGCUUUCACAUAUUACUUUUUCAAUUACUAACAAUAAAACUAUCUAGCUUACAGGGCUUCUGCUGUCCACAUUUUUGGUGUGUCACCUUGCUUUUUAAUUAUUAAUCUUUUUAAUGUGUAAAUUUACUCGAGUAUGAUAAACUAUAUUUUACCUAUUUUUAUUAUAUGUUACCUAUUAAUACAACAUAUAUUAAUAAUUUUAUCUAAUUUUUAAAUCUGAAUAUAUUUCAGAAGAAAGAAGUGUUUAAUUUGCUAAGAAACUGAAAGUUAAUUAUUAUAUAAAAUUGAAUUAUGUUCCAUAACAUAUCUCAUGUUAUUGUGAGGCACUUAAAAUUUUCCUCAAGUUCAUGAAGAGAGAUCAAGUAUAUUAAAAUAUGAUUUUAAAAAUAACCAGGCCUAAAAAAAUGAGGCAACACAACAGCGUAAUGUGCUAUAAAUUAGAAUGUUAUUUAUGUAAUAGAGUAUUAAUUAUACACACAUACAUGUGUUCUUCUGUUGUCUCUAUAUUGGCUGAGAGAUGCUACAUGGGUUCUUUGUUUAUUUUUAGUGAUAUACUGUACUUGUGUCUUCAAGGGGGAUUAAAACACUGUGUAAAUAGUAAUUGUAUGCACACUCAAAGCCUCGAACUCAGGCAUUCUCUUCCCUUACUAUCAAAUAUAGUCAUAAACGGUCUUUUCCAGAAAAUCUUUCUUGAGACAACGUCAACGAUUUCAAAAGUAAUUGCAAUGUCAUUAUAUCCGAUUAUUGGGGGAAAAUUCACACGCACAGAUAUGGUAAGAGCCCAAACUCUAUUGGCAUAAGUCAUUAACACUGAUUUGCUUUCCACCAAUGAUAUACUUGCUGUCCCUAGCCUAGUACUUUUCAAAGCUUAAUAAAAUCUAGGCAUUAUGAUAUCUAUGCUACUAUUCUUCAUUUUAUUUUCCACCUUAUUUCCCCAAAUCCUUACUGUGAAUCUCAAAAAUAACAAUUACAUUUUUUCUGGAAAUUUAACAUCAUAAGGAGUUGAAGCUAAGAAUCCACACCAUGAUAUAGCUAUGUUGUUCUUUAAGUGUAAAUAAAUUUACCAAGAUUUCUAGAACUUGGAAAAAGACAAUUGAUAGUCUCAAAUUUGUUCAAAAACUUCGAAAUUAUAAGUUGUAUGAAAACAAAUCCAAUGACUCAUUUAUUAAAAGCAGUGGUGCAAAAGACUUAAAAAAGAAAUGUUGCAGCGUCCAGUCUUCUAAUUUCCUACAUAUGUUAUUAAAUAUAACACAUUCCUCCAACCGCAAC